rnacentral:rRNA from 1 species
UAUAGAUGGAUCCGCGCUGCAUUAGCUAGUUGGUAAGGUAACGGCUUACCAAGGCAACGAUGCAUAGCCGACCUGAGAGGGUGAUCGGCCACACUGGAACUGAGACACGGUCCAGACUCCUACGGGAGGCAGCAGUAGGGAAUCUUCCGCAAUGGGCGAAAGCCUGACGGAGCAACGCCGCGUGAGUGAUGAAGGUCUUCGGAUCGUAAAACUCUGUUAUUAGGGAAGAACAUAUGUGUAAGUAACUGUGCACAUCUUGACGGUACCUAAUCAGAAAGCCACGGCUAACUACGUGCCAGCAGCCGCGGUAAUACGUAGGUGGCAAGCGUUAUCCGGAAUUAUUGGGCGUAAAGCGCGCGUAGGCGGUUUUUUAAGUCUGAUGUGAAAGCCCACGGCUCAACCGUGGAGGGUCAUUGGAAACUGGAAAACUUGAGUGCAGAAGAGGAAAGUGGAAUUCCAUGUGUAGCGGUGAAAUGCGCAGAGAUAUGGAGGAACACCAG